rnacentral:lncRNA from 1 species
AGACAUGCUGUCAUGCUCAUCGAAACAGUUUGGCGUUACCGAGCCGCCAAAAGGCAAAGGUCAUCUUCCCGAAUACACAAGGGGUACUGCACUCUCAUGCAUGCACUACCCGAGUAAAGGCGCAUCCGUUCUGCUGUACAGAAAGCGACGUUGCCUUGAUUAGCGAAGUUCGUAGAAGAGCAGGAAAAGAAAAUCAUUGGCACCGCCCCGCGCCUUUUGCUUCUGCGUGCAAGUGAUCGGCGGCGACAGAGCUCGCCGGCUGGAUAGAGAUUCAUCG